AUAAUAAAAUGGCUAGUUGUAUGGAGAUUACAGGCUGCUCACCCACAUGGCAAUUGACUGUGGUAUAGUUGGAAGAUAGUUGUCAUGGGGUUGAACAACAACCGCAACGGAGCUAUAGAGUGACUGUCGUUCUCCUAUGUUGCAUCGGUUAUGGACUGAUGUACCUAGUGAUAGAUCGGACAAAAGCUGAGCUAAUCAUAAUAUUCUUUCUAGAUCACUUCAGAUCA
rnacentral:lncRNA from 1 species